AUGUUUAACGCGAUCAUUGAAAAUUUGGACCUACGUGAGAUUGCGCUCACUGGUAGGCAAUUUACUUGGGCAAAUAAUCUUCCUACCCCGACUUAUGAAAAGCUGGAUCGGGUUCUCACGAGUGUUGAGUGGGAACAAAAAUUGCCUCUAGUGUCAGUGCAGGCAAUGCCUAGAGGAGUUUCUGAUCAUACGCCACUUCUUGUUGAUUCAGGUGAGGCGACUCACUUGGGCAAUAAGAGUGUUUUCUCUUUCGAAAAUGCGUGGUUUGAGAGAGAGGACUUCCUUGAGUUGGUAGCAAGGGAGUGGGCGGCUGAGCAAAGAGGUGCCUCUGCGGAGGAAAGAUGGCAAUACAAGAUUAGACAUCUUAGACAGUUCCUUAGAGGCUGGGCUAAGAAUAAUAGUGGCGCUUAUAGACUUGAGAAGGAGAGACUUCUCAAGUUGAUUGAUGAUCUUGACAUUAAGGCAGAGAGUGUGCCUCUAGCCAUAGAUGACCGGGUAUCUAAGAGAGAGGCUGAGGUCAGUCUGGCAAAGCUUCUUAGAGAGGAAGAAAUGAAGUGGGCGCGUAGAGCAAAAGUACGCCAAGUGGUUCAAGGGGACAACAACACUCAAUUUUUCCAAAACAUAGGAAAAAGAAAAUCAUUCAACUUGAACAGGAGGAGGGAACGAUUGUAG
rnacentral:rRNA from 1 species